GUCUCUUUGCUGGUGGGAAGGACUUACUUAGCCAUUGGGGGCACUUAGCUCCGCCAUCAUCGGUGUGUGCGAGAUUAGUGUUGCAAUACCAUCUCCAGCACAAGUCAACAAACGACGUAAAGCAAUUGUCGUCGUUGCCUCGUUAGAUCGGACUUUUACGUCCCAACAACGCCGACUCAACUCCAGGACAGACAGUGUGUGGACUUGUUGUCCCCGUGUGUGGACUUCUUGUCCCCGUGAUUGGACUUCUUGUCCCCGUGUGUGGACUUGUUGUCCCCGUGUGUGGACUUGUUGUCCCCGUGUGUGGACUUGUUGUCCCCGUGUGUGGACUUGUUGUCCCCGUGUGUGGACUUCUUGUCCCCGUGUGUGGACUUGUUGUCCCCGUGUGUGGACUUCUUGUCCCCGUGUGUGGAGUUCUGGUCCCCGUGUGUGGACUUGUUGUCCCCGUGUGUGGACUUCUUGUCCCCGUGUGUGGAGUUCUGGUCCCCGUGUGUGGACUUGUUGUCCCCGUGUGUGGACUUCUUGUCCCCGUGUGUGGACUUCUUGUCCCCGUGUGUGGAGUUCUGGUCCCCGGUUCCACUCCGAGCGGCUUUUAGGUGCAGCUCCAGUUCCCCAAGACGCCACUGGAACAACAAACAAACAAACAAGAAAACAAAGCAGUUUUCAAGUCACCUGGAUAAGAGACACGGGCUUCAAACAUGUCGAGUUCCACCCGAGUCAAGCUGCCACCCGAGUGGAAGGACGACGAGCGGAUGAAUUUUCUCUUCUCGGACUUUAAGGAGAGGCGCGACGUCAACACAACAGACUGGGACAGCAAGAUGGACUUCUGGACGGCGAUGGUCCUACAAAGCUGCAGAGACCGCACUCGUGUGUCCCUCAGUCUGCAAGACCUCAAUAAGAUCUUCCGGAGGAAGGAGAGGACACCCAUGGCGUUGGCAACUGUCAUCCAGUCCUUGUCCAGAUGUGGGAAGCUGCAGAGAGAGUCGGAGUUUGCUGCCAAUGUGGAUUGUGGCUGGUUGUCUUGGAGCGUUGGCCUUCUGCUGGUGAAGCCUCUGAAAUGGACCUUCUCCUCUCUGCUGGGAAGCAACUCCGUGCCUUUGGAGGAGUCUUUUGUUGUCCUUGAACUCGUGAAGGAGAAAGCCGCUGAAGUCCUGGAUAUCUACCGGAGCAGUGAAUAUGCCAGCCGCUCUAUCUUGUCCUUUCAAGAGCUGUGUACUCUCACCUCCAGCGUGUGUGCUGAUGACAGCACUCUGUGCUUGGCUCUGCUGCAGCUGCAGAGGGACAACCAAGUCCUGGUCUCCUUACACCAGGGGGAUAAGAUUGUUAAGUUUUGCCAACCAGGACAAGGUCGUGUCUCCACAGUCAACGAUUUAGAGACGGGCGUCUACCAGUUGCAGCGUAGUGAAAAACUGCUGGAGGAGAGGCUGGACAAACUGAGCCUGGAGGCUGAUAAGUCCAAAGAGGAAGCAAGACUUCUGCUCCAGGAAGGAAAGAAAGCACAGGCUUUGAGGUGUUUGCGAGGGCGGAAGAGAGGAGAAAAGAGAGCGGAUGUCUUGUUUGGCCAGCUGGAGUCCAUCCGAGCAAUCCUGGACAGAAUAGCUCAGUCCCAGACUGAUGAAAAGGUUCUGCAGGCCUACCAAGCAGGAGUUGCCAGCCUUAGCUUCUCUCUCAAGGACGUGACGGUCCAACGUGCCGAAAGCCUCGUCGAUCAAAUCCAGGAGUUGUGUGACAAACAAGAUGAUGUCAACCAAACCAUUUCUGGAGCAGUGACCUGUGCAGAUGAUGACAUGGAUGAGUUGGAGGAAGAGCUGAAAUUGUUAUUGCACGAACCCAAGCCGCACCCCGAAGUUCCAACAGAGCACCUGCCGAACGUCCCAGGUGACGACCUGCUGGAUUUUCUGCCCGCCGUCCCUCAAAGUGACCUGAAUGUCAGCACCAAGCAGCUGGAGGAAGAACUCAAACUGCUCACUCUCUAAGAUUCAGGGAUCCAGCACCUGGACAGCAGUUGGAACAUGGUUUGCAUGGACACCUGCAUGUCGACUUGAAGCUGCUGCGAUGAGAUGGCGACUUGUCCAGGGUGUACCCCGCCUUCCGCCCGAUUGUAGCUGAGAAGAAAAUGAAAGUUAAGGCAUUUGGUUGCUUUAGAGAAUGUUCAUUAGAUCCCUGCUUUACUUGUGGUUAAGCAUUUAUUUUCUUUGCUCAAAAUUGUACAUUUUCUUUCAUUUUUUUAAAUUUUGACUUCAAUGGAAAGCAGUGUGAUGGUGCCAUCUACAGCUGCAAAUAUUUGUGUUGUCCCACAAGUAAAUGUACUCAACAUUUUCCAUCAAGAAGAUGCUUUAACAAGAUGUGAUGUUGUGCAAGUACAAUACUGAAUACAAUAUGCCUGUGCAGUGCAAACUCCAUUCACCAACCCCGCUUAUUGUGCAAACUUUUCUAUUGACGGAAGACAAAUUGCUUUGGUGCACGAACCUUGUCCCAGUGUGCAAACAUUUCAGCCAACUAUUUUGUUCCCGACAGCAUAGCGAUUGUUGGCGGGCUAUGUCAUCUCUGCACGCACUCAUUUAGUAGAGCAGUGCUGUCGUUAGCUCUGUGUUAGGUGCAAACUUGUGUGCUUUUUUUUUUUAAUGUUUCUAUAGUUGUGGUAGCUCAUCUGAAUCCAAAUAAAGCAAUGGACAAGCAA